rnacentral:tRNA from 1 species
GCCGGUGUAGCUCAGCCGGCUAGAGCAGCUGAUUUGUAAUCAGCAGGUCGUGGGUUCGAGUCCCUCCAUCGGCU